rnacentral:rRNA from 1 species
AGGUAAGCUACUAAGAGCGAAUGGUGGAUGCCUUGACUGGUAAAGGCGAUGAAGGACGUACUAGACUGCGAUAAGCUACGGGGAGCUGUCAAGAAGCUUUGAUCCGUAGAUUUCCGAAUGGGGCAACCCAAUGUAUAGAGAUAUACAUUACCUAUAUAGGAGCGAACGAGGGGAAUUGAAACAUCUUAGUACCCUCAGGAAAAGAAAUCAAUAGAGAUUGCGUCAGUAGCGGCGAGCGAAAGCGCAAGAGGGCAAACCCAGUGCUUGCACUGGGGGUUGUAGGACUGCAAUGUGCAAGAGGUAAGUUUAGCAGAACAUUCUGGAAAGUAUAACCAUAGAGGGUGAUAGUCCCGUAUGCGAAAAACAAACCUUAGCUAGCAGUAUCCUGAGUAGGGCGGGACACGAGGAAUCCUGUCUGAAUCUGGGUCGACCACGAUCCAACCCUAAAUACUAAUACCAGAUCGAUAGUGCACAAGUACCGUGAGGGAAAGGUGAAAAGAACUGAGGUGAUCAGAGUGAAAUAGAACCUGAAACCAUUUGCUUACAAUCAUUCAGAGCCCUAUGUAGCAAUACAGGGUGAUGGACUGCCUUUUGCAUAAUGAGCCUGCGAGUUGUGGUGUCUGGCAAGGUUAAGCAAACGCGAAGCCGUAGCGAAAGCGAGUCUGAAUAGGGCGCUUAGUCAGAUGCUGCAGACCCGAAACGAAGUGAUCUAUCCAUGAGCAAGUUGAAGCUAGUGUAAGAACUAGUGGAGGACUGAACCCAUAGGCGUUGAAAAGCCCCGGGAUGACUUGUGGAUAGGGGUGAAAGGCCAAUCAAACUUCGUGAUAGCUGGUUCUCUCCGAAAUAUAUUUAGGUAUAGCGUUGUGUCGUAAUAUAAGGGGGUAGAGCACUGAAUGGG